AAGCAGGCUUCCACCUGUAGGGCAAUCCUCCUGGCCUUUGUAUCUACUGUCCUUGGGUGUCAGCCUCAUUUAAACAGUUUCUUAACUAAACCUGUCUAUGUGACUCCUGGAGCAGCCAGGGACACAUGUUAAAAACCAA
ensembl:snoRNA SNORA63 Small nucleolar RNA SNORA63